rnacentral:rRNA from 1 species
GUGAACAAUUAAGGGCGCGCGGUGGAUGCCUAGGCUCUCGGAGGCGAUGAAGGACGCGAUAAGCCGCGAUAGGCCACGGCGAGGUGCAAGUAACCCUUGACCCGUGGAUUUCCGAAUGGGGCAACCCGGCUGGAUAGAUUCCAGUCAUGCAUUAAUGCAAGCGAACGCGGGGAACUGAAACAUCUCAUUACCCGCAGGAGAAGAAAACAACAGUGAUUCCCCCAGUAGUGGCGAGCGAACGGGGAAGAGCCCAAACCGCUGCCGUUUCGGCGACAGCGGGGUCAUGGGACCGCGAUAUUCGACGGAAGACGAAGUGCAAUUACCUGGAAAGGUAAGCCGUGGAGGGUGACAGCCCCGUGCACGACACCUCUUUCGAAGAUAGCGGUAUCCCGAGUAGGGCGGGACACGAGAAAUCCUGCCUGAAUUCGCCAGGACCCCCUGGCAAGGCUAAAUACUCCCGAGAGACCGAUAGUGAACCAGUACCGCGAGGGAAAGGUGAAAAGUACCCCGAGCAGGGGGGUGAAAUAGACCCUGAACCCGCGCGCCUACAAGCGGUCGGAGCCGGGUAAUCCGGUGACGGCGUGCCUUUUGCAUAAUGAGCCUACGAGUUAGUCGUCACCAGCGAGGUUAAGGGCUUCAGGCCCGUUAGCCGAAGUGAAAGCGAGCCUUAACAGGGCGUCAAGUUGGUGGCGCUAGACGCGAAACCUUGUGAUCUACCCACGAGCAGGUUGAAGUCGCGGUAACACGUGAUGGAGGACCGAACCGGUAAACGUUGAAAAGUUUUCGGAUGACUCGCGGGUAGGGGUGAAAGGCCAAUCAAACUGGGAAAUAGCUCGUACUCUCCGAAAUGCAUUUAGGUGCAGCCUCUGUUGUUUUGUUCUAGAGGUAGAGCUACUGAUUGGAUGCGAGGGCUUCACCGCCUAUCAAAUCCGGCCAAACUCCGAAUGCUAGAACAUGAAGACAGGGAGUGAGCCAGCGGGUGCUAAGGUCCGUUGACGAAAGAGGGAGAACUCAGACCAUCAGCUAAGGUCCCCAAUUGUAUGCUAAGUUGGAAUUAAAACGGGGUGGGACUGCUUAGACAGCUAGGAUGUUGGCUUGGAAGCAGCCAUUCAUUUAAAGAGUGCGUAACAGCUCACUAGUCGAGCGGUCCUGCAUGGAUAAUACGCGGGCAUAAGCAUAUAACCGAAGCUAUGGGAUUGUAGAUGAUACAAUCGGUAGGAGAGCAUUCCAUUCAGCAUAGAAGCAGUACCGUGAGGUAUUGUGGAGCGGAUGGAAAAGCAAAUGUAGGCAUAAGUAACGAUAAUGCGGGUGAGAACCCCGCACGCCGAAAGAUCAAGGAUUCCCCGGCAAUGUCAAUCAUCCGGGGGUAAGUCGGAUCCUAAGGGUAAGCCGAGUGGCGAUCCCGAUGGCAAACAGGUUAAUAUUCCUGUACUGAUCAUAACUGCGAUGCAGCGACGCAGAGGUGACACUGCUGCGUACUGACGGAAUAGUACGUUGAAACCCGUAUUCUUUGAUACCGGUAGUGAAGCACGCCGGUAGAGAUGAAAGGUGAUAGUACCGCAAUGCUUCGGUUGCGCGGAUAACGCAGGUAAGCUGACUGCCAAGAAAACCUGCUAAGCUUCAGGUAAUGAUCAUCCGUACUGUAAACGGACACACGUGAUCAGGUAGAAAAUACUAAGGCGCUCGAGAGAUUCAUGGUUAAGGAACUAGGCAAAAUGGUCCUGUAACUUCGGGAUAAAGGACGCUCUUGUGAAAGAGCCGCAGAUAAUAGGCCCAGGCGACUGUUUACCAAAAACACAUGGCUAUGCUAAUUCGCAAGAAGAUGUAUAUGGCCUGACACCUGCCCGGUGCCGGAAGGUUAAGAGGAGAGCUCAGAGGCAACUCGAAGGUUUGAAUUGAAGCCCCGGUAAACGGCGGCCGUAACUAUAACGGUCCUAAGGUAGCGAAAUUCCUUGUCGGGU